CUGACCCGGUCGCGUGAUGGGCUCCCCGACGACGACGGAACAGGAAGCCGGUGCGAAUCCGGCGCGGUCCCGCCACUGUCACCGGGGAGUGCCCUCCCCACACCGGUGCCACCGCCCGCGAGGGUGGGAAGGCCGGGGAGGGCGUGGGGAUCCGGGAGCCAGGACACUGCCCGUCGUCGCGGAUUCCCA
rnacentral:ncRNA from 2 species